rnacentral:lncRNA from 1 species
AAAGCCUAUCACCUUUAUUUUGGCUGCAAAAUUGGAGAUCAGGACAAGAGGUGGGCCCCACACGUAUGCUGCAACACUUGUGCAACAAAUCUUCGCCAGUGGUUGAACAGGAAAAGGAAAUCUAUGCCUUUUGCAGUGCCAAUGAUUUGGAGAGAGCCAACAGAUCAUACCAGCAAUUGUUACUUCUGCAUGGUGCCUCCAGUUGGGAAAGGUUGUCAAAGAAGAAAAAGUGGACUCUGCAUUAUCCAAACAUUCCAUCAGCUAUAUGCCCAGUACCCCACGGAGAAGGACUGCCGGUUCCUGAUGCACCAGAAUCAUUCUCACUUGAGUCAGACGAGGAAGAGGAAGAGGAUGAAACUUCUGGUCCUGAACCAUCAAUGUCACAGGACCCACAUUUUCUCCCAUCCUCCUCCUCUGAACCACACCUCAGAACACAAGGUGAACUGAAUGACCUUGUCAGGGAUUUGGAACUGCCCAAGAGUAAGGCAGAGCUGUUGGGCUCCAGACUACAGCAGUGGAAUCUUCUGGCAGGUGAUGUUAGGGUUUCCAUGUUCCGUGACCGUCAAAAGGAUCUUGUCCCAUUCUUCUUCAUGGAUGGUGAUCUUGUAGCCUGCAACAACAUCGAUGGUGUGAUGGCAGCCCUCAACAUUGUUCACGAUCCAGAUGAGUGGAGACUGUUCAUUGAUUCAUCCAAGACGAGUCUUAAAGCUGUUUUACUGCAUAAUGGCAAUGUUUUGCCAUCAAUUCCAGUUGGUCAUGCAGUCCAGAUGAAGGAAACCUAUGACAACAUGAAACAACUUUUGAGGUGCAAAAACUAUGACCAACAUCAGUGGCAGCUUUGUGGCGAUUUGAAGGUUGUUGCUCUCUUGCUUGGUCUGCAGACUGGAUACACAAAGUACUGCUGUUUUCCUGCGAAUGGGAUAGUCGUGCAAAAGAUUCCCACUACAUCAAGAAAGAUUGGUCACUCCGACAGUCAUUGGAGCCUGGGAGGAAAAGUGUUCAGCAUCCAC